UUCUCUCUAGUGUAGUGGUUUGAGCAUUGGACUAUGGGUUGGGUAGACCAGGGUUCGAAUCCCUGCUGAGCCA